CAUUGAAAAGUCCAGCUGCCUUCAAACUGAUCCAAUUCUCAUGAAUGGAAAGUCCAAAGAACCUUCUGAACAUGGAAGACAGGGUCUAAAGUUGCCUCAGCUUUUUGAAGGGUUCGGAUAUUUUUAUGGUUCGGUCCAGAUACCCCUUUGGGACAGGAUAGGUAAGAAGAGACAGAAGAACUAUAGAAAACCAGCACCAGAAAUGUGAUUUGCAAUGCACAUUCUACAGAUGAAACAUCUCAGCAAAUUAGGAGCUUACUGGGGAAAUAUUGAAACCAUAAUCUUGUAAAUACCACAUCUUUUGAAAUACAUCAGACGAAGUAUUAUGCAGUGAUCUCAGACUAAUUGAUUGUAACGCUUCUGCAAGCAAAAGCUAGAAUGGAAUUUGCAUGAGUGGAAUACCAACUAUCAUGAAUGAAAUUGAAGGAUUUGCAAAGUAAACUUGAAAUAAA